UACAGAGGGUGCAAGCGUUGUUCGGAAUUAUUGGGCGUAAAGCGCGUGUAGGCGGCUUUGCAAGUCGGGUGUGAAAGCCCUCAGCUUAAUUGAGGAAGUGCGCCCGAAACUGCAGAGCUUGAGUACCGGAGAGGAUGGUGGAAUUCCCCAAGUAGAGGUGAAAUUCGUAGAUAUGGGGAGGAACACCGGUGGCGAAGGCGACCAUCUGGACGGAUACUGACGCUGAGAUGCGAAAGCUAGGGGAGCAAACAGG
rnacentral:rRNA from 1 species